rnacentral:tRNA from 1 species
GCCUGAGUAGCUCAGUGGUAGAGCAACGCAUUCGUAAUGCGUAGGUCGUGAGUUCGACUCUCACCUCAGGCUCCA